GGGCCAACUCGGCCAAUUUUGAAAUUCUGGCAUGGCGACUCCGUCGUGCUCCGGCAACGGCGUCGCCGCGAUCCACCUCGAGUUGGCUGUUUUCGACUGAAUUCAGCCAAACUUGUAUCGGUUCCUGUGAGAAAACACACUUAGGGCCCCUGGUGGGCCAAAAAAAUACGAAAAAUUGAAACUUAUCGGCAUAGGGGCUCUUUGGUGCGGCGGCUCUUCCAGCUGACAUCGCAAUUGGGUGUUUUACUCCGGUCAACCUAUAGAGGAGGAAACGGUGAUCAUAACAGUGGAAAAAUCACAUCGAACGGAAAUCGAGAAGGGCCUCAUUGGAGGCAAAAAUCGAGACACCUCGCGGCGGCACCGCUGAGCUUCAAUGGUAUUUUUCGGUUAAUUGGCCAGUACUUUUGCUCCGAUUUGGCCAUAGGUGGAUUUAGAAUCAAAUUCUGAGCAAAGAGUAGAAUUUUUACCUUGUUUGGCGGUCAGAAAUUGCUCCGGUACGGCGGCGAGUGGUGGCGUUCGGCUCCCCGGCGGCUGGAUUGUCUUCUCCGGCGAUGGGCUCUGGCGGCUAGGGUUAGGGUUUGGGUGCGGAUGAGAUCAUUUAUACCCAUCCGCUUUUGAUCUAAGCUGUUCAUCGCUUUUAAUUUGGACCGUCCGAUCGCGAUUAAAUAGGGAAUGAAUCUGGACCGUUCAUCACGAUUCAAUCUGGGCCGUUCGUGGGCGAUUCAAUUUGGGCUGUCCGUGCGCGAUGCAAUCUGGGCCGUCCAUGCACGCGGGAACGAAUCUCAGCCUUUCGAUCGUGCGCACGCAGAUCACCCACGUGGUUCCCUCCCGUAUGGCCUCCUGUAUUAGUGUUUCUGCCACCUGGU
rnacentral:lncRNA from 1 species